UGCCGGUGAUGGGGAUGGUGGCCAGGUGGACCAGGAACACGGCGAACCCGAUGGGCAGCGGGGCGAGGAUCUGCCGUCGUUCCACGGGCAAUAAGUAGCCAUGCAUUAAUAACCAAGCACAGCACGGCAGUAAUUAAGGAAAUUCAACAGGGGAAGAAGAGAAGGGCAGUAAUGGUAUUGGUAGGUACUCACGGGAACGUGGGAGUCCCUGGCGUUCCUCUUGGCGUCGGUGGCGGAGAAGACGGUGUAGACGAGGACGAAGGUGCCGAUGAUCUCGGCGCCGAGCCCGGAGCCCUUGGUGUAGCCGGACGCCACCACGUUGGCGCCGCCGCCGUUGCCCAUGUACAGGCCCUGCUGGAACCCCUUGACCACGCCGGCGCCGCAGAUGGCGCCCAGGCACUGCAUGAUGAUGUAGAACACCGCCCUCGUCAGCGACAGCUUCCUCGCCAGGAACAGCCCGAAGGUCACCGCCGGGUUGAUGUGCCCGCCUGCAUCCCAAUCCCAUCCAUCCAUCCAUCCGUUAGCAGUCAGCAAAAACGGAAGAAGAAAAACACAGGAAAAGGCUACAGGAAUCAAGAAAAAACAGUACCAGAGAUGCCGGCGGUGCAGUAGACGAGGGCGAAGAUCAUGCCGCCGAAGGACCAGGCGAUGCCCUGGAUGCCGACGGUGGCGCACUUGGAGGCGGCGCCGCUGUAGCCCAUGACGGUGAGGAUGGUGACGUAGAGGAAGAGGAAGGUGGCCAUGAACUCGGCGAUGCCGGCGCGGUAGAAGGACCACGACUUGAGCUCGCCGGGCUCGAACAGCGGCGCCGGCGGGGGCUCCUUGUAGUCCUUGUCCUCGGACCCCUGCGCCGCCGUGCCGAUGGGCUGCCGCUCCGAGUACUUGUUCGCCCCGAGGCGCACGUCCUCCUCCUUGCCCUCCAUCGCUGCUGCCCUCGCCGGAGGCCGGUGGUCGCUGUCUCGCCUGAGCUGGAACGGAACGAGAUGGGCGGCUUUGGUGUGAGCGUGUGGUGAGGGUAGCACUGGGAGUGAAGAGUCUUAUAGGGGCAAGCGGCGGUUCUGGAAGGAAGGGGUGGAGGACGGCGGGUGACGAGGACGGCGGGUGGUGGCCCGGCGUGACAGCGGGGAGGAGCGGGCUGGCUUGCUGUUUAGCCUGUUUGUUUGUUGCCUAGCUUGCCGCUGCUGCAGCGCCCUUGUUUGCUUGCUUAUCCGCUUGUGUUUAACGUUUGAACAAAUAAAUAUUCCUUUUAAAGCUAAAAACACGAAUGAUUAUUUUUCCAAGCUCGGAGAAUCGGUGCAACUGCUGCGUGAUCAAUCAGUGCCCUGCAAAUUGUAAUUGCUAUUUUGUCAACUAUCUGAGAACAUCAAUUCGGCAUCAGGUAGCCAAAUGCUUCUCAUGUCCACCAUUUUGCAAGACCUUAGAGCACCUCCAACAAGACGACACGCACUAAAAUAACAUUUACAAUGUUGAAAUAACAAUUUUUUUAGGCACAGCAGAACACUGGUUCCAACGGUCACUCCAAAAUAUUACGGGGUUGUUUGGUUCCCAGCCUAAGGUUGUCAUGCCUAACCUUAAUCAUGUCAUAAUACUUUAGGCAUGUGUUUGGUUCAUUACCACACUUAUGGCUUGCCACAUUUUUAUAGAUAUAUGGUCCAUAUGUCAUAGACUCAUUUUUUACCAAAUCUUGCCACACUUGUGGUGUCCAUUUUGUUAGCCACACUUUUUGUGGCAGCCACACUUUGCCUAAGGUUAGUUGUGGUAAAGUUAGUCAUGAACCAAACAGGCCCUACACGCGUGAGCCGUUACUGCAUAGUCGAGUACAAACAACAUUUGACACUCAAACAACAUCAAAAAGAUCAAACACAUAAAAAAUAAAUCAGCAAUAAAUAAUUCAAUUUUAUUUAUAACUCAAACAAAUAGUUUAUUUUCCAAUACAACAAAUAGUUCAACAAUACAACAUUAAACAUACAAAUCACUAGUUUUGUCGGCCAUCCAUGCCCACCACUCCUUCUUUAGAUCUUUCUCAAAAUUAUGAUGCGUUUCGACGCGUCAAAUGAUAUGAUAGGAGGCAACAAAUCAGGCCAUCCUUUCAGCCCUCCGUCGUACUCGCACUAGACGUCCCAAGAGGUCACAUUUGGAGUUGUCUAAAUCUUGCCGACGUUCAUUCUCGAUGAUCAUGUUAUGCAUGAUCACACAAGCGUUCAUGAUGUACCAAAGGAUCUUUUGAUCCCAAAAUCUAGCCGGUCCACUCACGAUAGCAAAUUCGGCUUGCAAAAUCCCAAAAGCUCUCUCCACAUCUUUCCUAAAUGCCGCUUGAGCAUCGUGGAAAUGAAGAUUUUACUUACCUUUCGAUUUUUUCAACGGCGUAACAAAUGUUUGCCACUUUGGAUAGAUGUCAUCCGCAAGAUAGUAGCCAUAGUUGCAUGUAUGGCAAUUUGCUACAAACUGCACACGUGGUUGUUCAUCAUUUGCAAUCCUAUUCAUGAGUGGUGACCGAUUAAGAACGUGAUGUCAUUCAAAGAUCCAUGCAUUUCAAAAAAAGCAUGUCAAAUCCAAGUCUCUUGAUCGGCCACUCCUUCAAGGAUUAUAGUGGAACCCUUUUUUUGGUCGUGAAAUUGUCCGUACCAUGCCUUAUGACAAUUCUUCCAACUCCAAUGCAUGCAAUCUAUUGAGCCAAGCAUACCUGGAAACCCGCGAGCUUUGUUCAUAUCCAAAAGCCUUGCGGCGUCUUCAACAUUGGGAGCUCUGAAAUACUCCAGACCAAACACUUGCACAAUUCCAACUGCAAAGCGCUUGACACAUAUGAUGGCUUGAUUCUCACCCAUGGCCAAACGGUCAUCAACUAGAUUAGCAGGAAUAACAUAUGCCAACAUACGCAAAGCGGUUGUCACCUUUUGAAAGGUGCUAUGCCCGAGUUCUCCAGGGGCAUUCCUCCUUCGUUGAAAAAACAGAUCAUGGCUUGCUAGUUUAUCUGCGAUGCGUUUGAACAACUCGGUGCACAUCCUAAAACGACACCGAAAGUAGGAGUCAGGGUAUACAGGAUUAUCCACAAAAUAGUGCCUCAUCAAUCUGUUGUUGGCAUUGAUCUUAUCCCUCCAAAUUUUCUGACGACCCAUAACCGAACCAACGUGCUUCGACUUUCUAUUGACGUGCAUAGCUAUGAUCAUUGCAAGGUCCUCCUCCACCUGAUAAUCAAAUUAUUCGCCGAAAGAAUCAUAUGAAGAACCCAUCUACAAUAUUGAUUUUAAACUAGUCUAUAAAACUACAAACAACAUGCACCAAAUUCUUCUACAAAAUAUGAAGUUGAAGCAAUACAUACCUUGCAAGCGUUUUGUCAAACACCUUGUGGAGCGACAGUGGGCGACCGAGUGCUGUUCGUCGAAGGAAUGGCGCGCUUGAGGGGCGGCGACGAUGAGAGGAGGUGGAGGAAGGAGCGGCGGCGCGCGGUGAUAGGUCAGGGAAGCUGUUGGAAAUAUGCCCUAGAGGCAAUGAUAAAUAGUUAUAUUAUAUUUCUUGUUUAAAGAUAAUUGUUUAUUAUCCAUGCUAUAAUUGUAUUGAGUGAAAACAUAGAUACAUGUGUGGAUAUAUAGACAAAACAAUGUCCCUAGCAAGCCUCUAGUUGCCUGGCUAGUUAAUCAAAGAUAGUCAAGGUUUUCUGACUAUGAGCAAAGUGUUGUUGCUUGAUAACUGCAUCACAUCAUUAGGAGAAUCAUGUGAUGGACUAGACCCAAACUAUGAACGUAGCAUAUUGAUCGUGUCAUUUUAUUGCUAUUGUUUUUUGCGUGUCAAGUAUUUGUUCCUAUGAGAAUGAGAUCAUAUAACUCACUGGCACCGGAGGAAUACCUUGCGUGCAUCAAACGUCACAACGUAAUUGAGUGACUAUAAAGGUGUUCUACAGGUAUCUCCGAAGGUGUCCUUUGAGUUAGUAUGGAUCAAGACUGGGAUUUGUCACUCCGUGUGACGGAGAGGUAUCUCGGGGCCCACUCGGUAAUACAACAUCACACACAAGCCUUGCAAGCAAUGUGGCUAAGUGUAAGUCACGGGAUCUUGUAUUACGGAACGAGCAAAGAGACUUGCCGGUAACGAGAUUGAAGUAGGUUUGCGGAUACCGACGAUCAAAUCUCGGGCAAGUAACAUACCCAAUGACAAAGGGAAUGACAUACACGAUUAUAUGAAUCAUCCAGGUCCCGCUAUUGGAUAUUGACCGAUGAGUUACUCGGGGCAUGUCUACAUAGUUCUCGAACCCGUAGGGUCUGCACACUUAAGGUUCUAUGAUGUUUUAGUAUAGUUGAGUUAUAUGUGUGGUUACCUAAUGUUGUUCGGAAUCCCGGAUGAGAUCACGGACGUCACGAGGGUUUCCGGAAUGGUCGGGAAACAAAGAUUGAUAUAUAGGAUGACUUCAUUUGGUUACCGGAAGGUUUUCGGGCAUUAUCGGGAUUGUACCGAGAGUGACGAAUGGGUUCCGGAUGUUCACCGGGAGGGGGCAACCCAUCCGGGGAAGCCCAAAGGCCCUAGGGGUGGCGCACCAGCCCUUAGUGGGCUGGUGGGACAACCCAAGAGGGCCUAUGCGCCAAGGAAAGAAAAAAACCAAAAAGAAAAAAAAAGAAAGGUGGGAAGGAAGAGAAGGACUCCACUUUCCAAUCCUAUUUGGACUAGGAUUGGAGUAUGACUCCUCCUCCUCCCUAGCCGGCGCACCCUUGAGGGCUUGGCCCUAAAGGCAAGCCUCCCCCCUCCCUCCUAUAUAUAGUGGUGAUUUAGGGCUGAUUUGAGACAAAUUUUGCCACGUGCAACUUAGAUCUAGACACCAUAGUUUUACCUCUAGAUCGUAUUUCUGCGGAGCUCGGGCGGAGCCCUGCAGGAGUAGAUCCUUCACCACCACCGGAGCGCCGUCACGCUGCCGGAGAACUCGUCUACUUCUCCGUCUUGCUUGCUGGAUCAAUAAGGCCAAGAUCAUCGUCGAGCUGUACGUGUGCUGAACGCGGAGGUGUCGUCCGUUCGGCACUAGAUCGGCACGGAUCGUGGGACGGAUCGCGGGAUGGUCCGUGGGACGGUUCGCGGGGCGGAUCGAGGGACGUGAGGAUGUUCCACUACACCAAUCGCGUUUCUUAACGCUUCCUGCUUUGCGAUCUACAAGGGUACGUAGAUCCAAAUCUCCUCUCGUAGAUGGACAUCACCAUGAUAGGUCUUCGUGUGCGUAGGAAAUUUUUUGUUUCCCAUGCAACGUUCCCCAACAGAAGCGUCGUCGGGGCGCAGGGGUAAAUGGGGAGGUGCGGUCGACGACGCUAGCGGAUGGAUCCGGCGUUUGGUGGAAGUCGCGCGCGAGUCAUCGUUGUCAAGCGUGCGGGGUCGGGCGCACAAAAUAAGCGACGCGCGAUGUCGUUUUGCUCCAUGCGCUGAACCAACUAUAGAUCCAUAGGACAUCAGCAAAAUAAAACAUACAACUCAAACCAAUCAAGAUCAUCAAUCAACCCAAAGGACAAACAAAAUCUACUCAAACGUCAUAGGGUGGCAAAACAUCAUUGGAUAAUAAUAUGUGGCAUAAAGCAACAUGUUGAAGUAUGGGAUUACAACGGUAUGGAGGAGAGUGGACUAUUGGAAAUAGGACCUUGAGGCAAUAAUAAAUUACUUAUUACUAUAUUUCCUUGUUCAUGAUAUUCGUUUUUAUCCAUGCUAGAAUUGUAUUGCUUGGAAACUCAAAUACAUGUGUGGAUACAUGGACAACACACUGUCCCUACUGAGCCUCUAAAGGACUUGCUCGUUCAUCAAAGAUGGUCAAGGUUUCCUGACCAUAGACAUAUGUGCUCAUUUGAUAACGGGAUCACGUCAUUAGGAGAAUGAUGUGAUGGACAAGACCCAAACUAUAAACGUAGCAUAUGAUUGUGUCAGUUUAUUGUUACUGUUUUCUGCAUGUCAAGUAUGUGUUCCUACGACCAUGAUAUCACGCAACUCCCGGACAUCGGAGGAAUGCCUUGUGUGUAUCAAACGUCACAACAUAACUGGGUGACUAUAAAGGUGCUCUAGAGGUAUCUCCAAGGGUGUCCGUUGGGUUGGCAUGAAUCGAGAUUGGGAUUUGUCAUUCCGUAUGACGAAGAGGUAUCUCUAGGGCCCACUCGAUAAUACAACAUCACAAUGAGCUUGCAAGAAAUGUGACUAAGGAGUUAGUCAUGGGAUCUUGUAUUAUGGAACGAGUAAAGCGACUUGUCGGUGAUGAGAUUAAACCACGUAUGGAGAUACCAAUGAUCAAAUCUCGGGCAAGUAACAUACCGAUGGACAAAGGGAACAUUAUACAAGAUUGAUUGAAUCCUUGACAUCGUGGUUCGACUGAUAAAGAUCUUCGUAGAAUAUGUAGGAGCUAAUAUGGGCAUCCAGGUCCCGCUAUUGAUUAUUGACCGGAGAGUGUCUCACGUCAUGUCUGCAUAGUUCUCGAACCCGCACGGUCUGCACACUUAAGGUCAGUGACGAUUUGGUAUUGUUGAGUUAUGAAUGAUGGUGACCGAAGGUUAUUCGGAGUCCUGGAUGA
rnacentral:lncRNA from 1 species